UACAUGUGGGGCAAGCGUUGUUCGGAAUUACUGGGCAUAAAGGGUGCGUAGGUGGUUUGUUAAGUCAGGGGUGAAAUCCCGCGGCCCAACCGUGGAACUGCCUUUGAUACUGGCGAACUUGAGUGCGUGAGGGGUAGGGGGAACGAGCAGUGUAGCGGUGAAAUGCGCAGAUAUCAGGAGGAACACCGGUGGCGAAGGCGGGUCUCUGGGCCGAUAUUGACGCUGAGGAGCGAAAGCGUGGGGAGCGAACAGG
rnacentral:rRNA from 1 species